rnacentral:rRNA from 1 species
AUACGGAGGGAGCUAGCGUUAUUCGGAAUUACUGGGCGUAAAGCGCACGUAGGCGGCUUUGUAAGUAAGAGGUGAAAGCCCAGAGCUCAACUCUGGAAUUGCCUUUUAGACUGCAUCGCUUGAAUCAUGGAGAGGUCAGUGGAAUUCCGAGUGUAGAGGUGAAAUUCGUAGAUAUUCGGAAGAACACCAGUGGCGAAGGCGGCUGACUGGACAUGUAUUGACGCUGAGGUGCGAAAGCGUGGGGAGC